rnacentral:lncRNA from 10 species
AUGAAAUUCAGUGGAGGGACCUCAAUUUGGGCACAUUACUAUUUCCACUGCUUUGUUAAUGCUAUGGGUCACAGCGAAGGCAUACAAUUCUCAGUUCAUCAGGAAGCAGUGAAAGGGCUCUUUGAUAUAACAAAGAUACGCCCAGAUUCCUUCUGGAGGCAGGUCUUCAGAAGACAAACACAAGUCACUGUGAUGAUCUCAGACCCUUUGUGUUUCAGCCACCACUGGGGUAGCUCCUGGCACAACUGUUGCACCUGGCAGUUCCAACACAGAGGCCACAACUUCUAUAGGAGAAAGUGGAAAAACAGGAGCUGAAAUAAUCACAGGUGAGCUCUGCUAAGGAACUAAGUUUACUUUUUUAUAAUUUCCCAUGUCUCGAU